rfam:Aedes albopictus isolate Foshan contig73363, whole genome shotgun sequence.
UGCCCAGCAAAUCGUACCCCUACCUCCACGUGGUACCGGCCGGAAACUAUGAGCAACCUUAGGGAAGACCGGGUAACCAACCCCGGUGGGAACUUUGGUCGUAGGCUGACAGGGAAGG